UACGAAGGGGGCUAGCGUUGCUCGGAAUCACUGGGCGUAAAGCGCACGUAGGCGGAUCUUUAAGUCAGGGGGUGAAAUCCUGGAGCUCAACUCCAGAACUGCCUUUGAUACUGGGGAUCUCGAGUCCGGGAGAGGUGAGUGGAACUCCGAGUGUAGAGGUGAAAUUCGUAGAUAUUCGGAAGAACAUCAGUGGCGAAGGCGGCCUGCUGGGCUGUUGCUGACGCUGAGGCGCGACAGCGUGGGGAGCAAACAGG
rnacentral:rRNA from 1 species